rnacentral:rRNA from 2 species
AUUUAAUUGAAGAGUUUGAUCAUGGCUCAGAUUGAACGCUGGCGGCAGGCCUAACACAUGCAAGUCGAACGGUAACAGGA